rnacentral:rRNA from 1 species
CAGCAGCCACGGUAAUACGCAGGGUGCAAGCGUUAAUCGGAAUUACUGGGCGUAAAGCGUGCGCAGGCGGUUUGUUAAGACAGAUGUGAAAUCCCCGGGCUCAACCUGGGAACUGCAUUCGUGACUGGCAGGCUAGAGUAUGGCAGAGGGGGGUGGAAUUCCGCGUGUAGCAGUGAAAUGCGUAGAUAUGCGGAGGAACACCGAUGGCGAAGGCAGCCCCCUGGGCCAAUACUGACGCUCAUGCACGAAAGCGUGGGGAGCAAACAGGAUUAGAUACCCGUGUAGUCCCUGUCUCUUAUAC